GGGGCUGUAGUGAAAAGGGAUCACACAACAAUGGCAUUGUUGGAUUAGGGGUUCAAUUCCCCUCAGCUCCACCA
rnacentral:tRNA from 1 species